rnacentral:misc_RNA from 1 species
UCCGAGUUGACCCCGGCAGUCUCCUGCGAGUCCCCGGCUUUACCCGCUGGCAACACAGGACAAGGGUUGCGCUCGUUGCGGGACUUAACCCAACAUCUCACGACACGAGCUGACGACAGCCAUGCAGCAUCUGUGGUGCACCCUCGAAGGCCACACGUUUCCGUGCGCUUGCAGCACCAUGUCAAGCCCAGGUAAGGUUCUUCGCGUUGCAUCGAAUUAAAGAACAUGCUCCGCUGCUUGUGCGGGCCCCCGUCAAUUCUUUUGAGUUUCGGCCUUGCGGCCGUACUCCCCAGGCGGGGUACUUCAUGCGUUAGCGCCGGCACUCGAGGGGUCGCUCCCCCAAGCACCUAGUACCCAUCGUUUACGGCGUGGACUAC